rnacentral:lncRNA from 1 species
UAUCUUGUCGCUGCUGCCUACCUGCGCCUGGAUCCAAAGUCCAAACCCUAGCCGCCUCUCUCUCUCUCUCCCCUCACAGGCUCAGAUCUCCUACCACCACCAUGGAAGGCUCUCUCCUCAGAUCCAUGGAAUGGCUUCACUCUUCCUUCCUUCCUUCCAACAGCCUGCGGCCGCCGGCGCACCCUUCUUCCAUGGCGAUGGCGAGAGGGAUGGGAUCUAGCCCCGCCCAGCCCCGCCGGCAGCAGCGUGCGUCCCACAACUACUCCAGAUGGGAAACAGCACGGUCCGCUCCCGGCCGGAGACUCUCGCAGCGGCCGGAGCGCCAACGUUUGCCGACCUUCAUCGCCUUUUCUCUUGGUCUGAUGGGUGAGUCCUCUGCUAUUCUUUCAUCUAAUCUAAUCUAACCUAAUCUAAGAAAACAAAUCCAUUCUUCUUUCUUGUCUUGCAGGUUGGUUUGGUUCCAUCUCUCUCUCUCUAUUUUAUGUUACACAAGUAUUACACAUGGAUGGAUAUUUCCCAUCCAUCGAGUAAAACGAAUAUCCCAGCCCUGUUAGGCCGUCUCCUGUGUAUGUAUGUGCAGAGUUUUUUUGUUUUUGAUUUGUUAUAAUCUUCUGUAUGUAUAUCACCGGAGGACAAAGUAAAAGAAAAUAAAUCCUUCUUCACAAGAAGAUUCACCCGAUCGAGUACUGUUUUCAGGCUGUUUGGAUCUUUCGGAAUUUUUCCUAAAAGGAUUUCAAACUCUUUCAAAGCAUUCUUGCAGUCUUUUGUCUUUUAUAAGAAAAAUAAUAAUAUAAAUCUCAAACCUCUUCUUUGCAAUUCCCUUAUUACUUCUUUUGGUGGUGAAACACUCUUUGCUGAGUUUUUUUCUUUUUCUUUUGCCACACCCCUUAGUACCACUUAACUUAUAUAGGUCCUAAUACAUACAUACAGAGAUAACAAUCCAAAGUAAUCCCUCCGUCCCAUAAUAUAAGACGCUUUUUGACACUACACUAGUGUUAGAAAAACAUCUUACAUUAUGGGACGGCGUAGUACAUUUUAUUUGCCUAGCUCUCUGUCGCUCAGCCUUUUUAUCUUAGCACUUACCCUCACAUUCUUUAAUGUCAUUUUUCACCAGCGCCGGGGAGGGAGUUAUUGGCUAGCAUUUGUGUUAGUGAAUGGAGGAUAGAUGCUUGCUUGAUACUACUCCCUCUGUAAAGAAAUAUAAGAUUAGUAGUGAUCUAAAUGAUCUUAUAUUUUUUUUACAUAGGGAGUACGAGUUUAGGGCCUCUUUGGCUUGGUAGUAAAAGCAGAGGAAAAUUGUUGGACUAUGAAAAUUUUCUUUGGUGCAUCUAUUUGCUUUACGAAAGAAAAAAAGGAAAAAAAAAGCAAAGAGUUUUCCUUUGGUCUAUGUCCCAAAGGCAAAAUAAAUAGAAAUUUGACAUCUACUCCCUCCGUUUGGAAUUACUUGUCGCCGAAAUGGAUG